rnacentral:lncRNA from 1 species
AUCAUUUUAAUGUGUUGUCAAUUGUUGUCAUUGAGCGUGUAGUCGUCGGCCAUUCUCUAACGUGGCCCCAAAUGGAUGAACUGAAUGGACAUUGGAAGAAUAGGUGCUGGCCAGAUUUCUCGUGAUCCACAUGAUACACGAUUUCUGUUGAUAUCACGAUGCAACAGUUCGUUUUUUGUUAACAGCUUUGAUUGGGCACUUUACCACAAGAUGAAUGAAUGUUUAGGGACAAUGCAAGAACUCCAAACAUCCCCAACCCAUGCCUUGUUCCCUGUUGGUCUGAAGAAAUUAUAUGCGUGUGAGCUAUUCAAGUUACCUCCAACAACCCACUCCGAUAUUCUAUCCAAAGCAGCUUAAGCAGUUCCUUCAGGUAGGCCAAUUCUGUCUUUGAUUUCCAGGAGUUUAAGCAAUGGGGAAUCACAGUUUCUUGAUGAAAAGUCCUAGAUUGUUGUCCCUUUCAAGUAAACAUGAUUGAUCCAGCGAACCCAAAGUGAAUCCUUGUGGAUGUUCCAAAGUGAUUUUGCAAGGCAGAAUUCCAGCAUUUGAUGUCUCUAAAUCCUAGGCCGCCUCCAUUUUUUGGAAGGCAAACAUUCGUCCAUGCUAUCAAUGGCUUUUUAGAUCUCCAAAGACAGUUUCGACAAAGUGUAAUAAUUCUCGAAGUAACCGUGGCUAGGAUAAAAAAGAUAGACAACCAAAAACAUUCAACACUUUGAAACACGGAUCUCACAAGUUCUGCUCUCCUAGGUUGUAUUACUGCUUAAGCACUCACGUUGCAAGCGGGUAGAUUCUACUCAAUUUGUUGACAUUAGGGUCUGCAUACUUCUAAGAACGACUCUCAUGGUGGAGUAACAACAAAGAGAGAGUUAUUCCAGGUAGAAAAUAAGUAUAUA